UACGGAGGGUGCAAGCGUUAUCCGGAUUCACUGGGUUUAAAGGGUGCGUAGGAGGGCAGGUAAGUCAGUGGUGAAAUCCCCGAGCUUAACUUGGGAACUGCCGUUGAUACUAUCUGUCUUGAAUAUCGUGGAGGUAAGCGGAAUAUAUCAUGUAGCGGUGAAAUGCUUAGAUAUGACAUAGAACACCGAUUGCGAAGGCAGCUUACUACACGAUCAUUGACGCUGAGGCACGAAAGCGUGGGGAGCAAACAGG
rnacentral:rRNA from 1 species